rnacentral:rRNA from 1 species
ACGCUCGACACCUACGGGNGGCAGCAGUGGGGAAUAUUGCACAAUGGGGGAAACCCUGAUGCAGCGACGCCGCGUGAGUGAAGAAGUAUUUCGGUAUGUAAAGCUCUAUCAGCAGGGAAGAAGAUGACGGUACCUGAGUAAGAAGCCCCGGCUAACUACGUGCAAGCAGCCGCGGUAAUCUGAGCGGGCUGGCAAGGC